ACUCAAAUGAAUAGACGGGGGCCCGCACAAGCGGCGGAGCAUGUUGCUUAAUUCGAGGCAACGCGAAGAACCUUACCUGGGUUUGACAUGCUGGGAAAAGCCACAGAGAUGUGGUGUCCUUCGGGGCCCAGCACAGGUGGUGCAUGGCUGUCGUCAGCUCGUGUCGUGAGAUGUUGGGUUAAGUCCCGCAACGAGCGCAACCCUUAUCCUAUGUUGCCAGCGCGUAAUGGCGGGGACUCGUGGGAGACUGCCGGGGUCAACUCGGAGGAAGGUGGGGACGACGUCAAGUCAUCAUGCCCCUUAUAUCCAGGGCUGCAAACAUGCUACAAUGGCCGGUACAAAGGGCUGCGAAACCGCGAGGUCGAGCGAAUCCCAUAAAGCCGGUCUCAGUUCGGAUUGAAGUCUGCAACUCGACUUCAUGAAGCUGGAGUCGCUAGUAAUCCCGGAUCAGCAACGCCGGGGUGAAUACGUUCCCGGGCCUUGUACACACCGCCCGU
rnacentral:rRNA from 1 species